rnacentral:misc_RNA from 1 species
GCAAACUUGGUCAUUUAGAGGAAGUAAAAGUCGUAACAAGGUUUCCGUAGGUGAACCUGCGGAAGGAUCAUUAAAGUAUUGAAUUUUGAAUCAUUUAAGAUUCAAACAAUCUGACUUUGUGGUAUUAUUGAAAAACUGUAUUGGAUUUAAAGAUGAUAUUUACUUCUCGUAAGUGGUAUCGAUCCAAGCUUUUUUUAAUCAACUCUCUUAUCAUGUGACUGAAAUUUAUCAAGUUUUAAAUCUUAUUGGUUUAAAAAAAAAGUUUAAAUAACUUUCAACAACGGAUCUCUUGGUUCUCGCAUCGAUGAAGAACGCAGC